rnacentral:lncRNA from 1 species
AACUUUCCGGUGCUUACCUCUAACUGAUAAAACUAGCUCCAACCCACCACCCUCCACUGACUUCCUUCGCACUCAGCCCACUCGCACCCGGGUGAAUAAACAGCCUUUGUUGCUCACACUUAGCCUGUUCAAGUUGUCUCUUCAAUUAGAUGCUCGCAUAACAUUUGGUGCCGAAAGCCCGGGAUAGGGGAACUCCUCCGGCAGACCUCUCCUCUAUCCUCCCGGUACCCACGUUCUCCCAUGCAAGAGACUUCCCUCGCCCUCAGGACCUCAGACCAGCUCCGCGAGCACUCCGGCCUCUGUCUAUGGAUAUGGUGUUCAAUAAUAGGGAAGAGACUGCCCGGCGACAGCGCAUUUCAGAACUACAGAUGCUUGCCUCCGCCAUAAGACAAACCCCAGCUGCACUGCCUACCUGCAAGAACUUCAAGGCAUCUAAACGCAACAUCCAACAGCCCCUCUGGGACUUUGCUUCAAGCGAUGAAAACCUGGCCACUGGGCCAAGGAAUGCCUGCAGCCUGGGAUUCCUCCUAAGCCAUGCCCCGCCUGUGCGGGCCCUCACUGGAAGUCUGACUGCCCGACUCUCAUCGCCACUUCCGGAGCUCCUGGAGCUCAAACCCAAAGCUCCCCACCGACUCCUUCCCAGAUCUCCUCGGCUUGGCGGCUGAAGACUGACGCUGCCCGAACGUCUCGGAGGCCCCUUAGACAAUCGCGGAUGCCGAGCUUCGGGUAACUCUUAGGGUGGAGGCAUAAAAAGACAGGAAUGUAAGGUCCUCUGAGCAGGCGGCGCCAUGGUCAAGCCAUCGUGACCCCUGUGACUCACACGUACACAUCCAGAAGGUCUCCUGGAGCCAGAAAGUCUGGGACGACAGGAAAACCACAAAAGAAGAAAAACGGCUAGUUCCUGUCUUAGCUGAUCAGCCAACCUUGUGACAUUCUAUCAUUGUAACAGGCUGUACCCUAACUGAUCAAUCAACCUCAUGACACUGUGCUCUGUAACCUUAUGAUAAUGUACCUUAUGACAUUCUUCCCCUGCCCUCAAUAAACAGCUCCGAACUAUAACUUUCCACUGCUUACCCCUAAAGUAUAAAACUAGCUCCAACCCCACCACUUCCUUUUCGGACUCAGCCCACCCGCACCCAGUGAAUAAACAACCUUGUUGCUCACACUUAGCCUGUUCAGGGUGUCUCUUCAAUUAGACGCACACAUAACAGACAGAUUAACAAGAAAAACACAUACAGAUUAAUUUAAUAUAAAUUUUUUUUUAUUAUACUUUAAGUUUUAGGGUACAUGUGCACAUUGUGCAGGUUAGUUACAUAUGUAUACAUGUGCCAUGCUGGUGCGCUGCACCCACUAACUCGUCAUCUAGCAUUAGGUAUAUCUCCCAAUGCUAUCCCUCCCCCCUCCCCCCACCCCACCACAGUCCACAGAGGGUGAUAUUCCCCUUCCUGUGUCCAUGUGAUCUCAUUGUUCAAUUCCCACCUAUGAGUGAGAAUAUGUGGUGUUUGGUUUUUUGUUCUUGCGAUAGUUUACUGAGAAUGAUGAUUUCCAAUUUCAUCCAUGUCCCUACAAAGGACAUGAACUCAUCAUUUUUGAUGGCUGCAUAGUAUUCCAUGGUGUAUAUGUGCCAUAUUUUCUUAAUCCAGUCUAUCAUUGUUGGACAUUUGGGUUGGUUCCAAGUCUUUGCUAUUGUGAACAGUGCCGCAAUAAACAUACGUGUGCAUGUGUCUUUAUAGCAG